CACUCGGGGCACCGCAGGCUCUCCGGGAUCCUUCCCCCCGCGCUCUGGAACUCGAAUCGGCAGCACGGGUGCGCCACGUCGCGGAUCUUCUCGUAGUGCUCCUUGAAUGCCACGUCGUACCCCUUGGUCGGCACGUGCUCCUUCCACAGGUCGUACUCCAGCAGCGCCGGCAGGACCGUGUUCCGGUGCCCGUUCACCACGAUGCUUGACCCCUUGCUCAGUAUCGCCCACCCCCCGGCCUUGUCAAAGCUGAGCAACCUCUUGAGCUGCUGAAUCAAGAGGCCAUGCUCGUCCACCUUCCCCAGCUGGAUCUUCGAGAAGAACAUCGACUCGAGCCGGGUCCAAAAGUACCAUACCAAGGUCAGGUCCUGCCAGGUGGAGCUCAGCUUCUCAUCGUUGAUGGUAUCUAUCGCGCGCUGCACCUGCUCUCGCUUGCUGCUCUUGCCCACAUAGACCAUCUCCAGGGGAAUCCUUGCGGCCAUCGCAACCUGGCGUGCCGCCGUGGUGAACUUACGGAUCCACUCUAUGUCAUCACCACCGUAAAGGAAUAUGUACUUGCCUUCUCUAAUCUGACGAGGACAAAAUUGAAGAUCUCCGUGUCACAAACCUUUUAGUUAAAUAUGAUAAAAAUGCUAACUUGACAUGACCGAGAGUUACCCAAUUCAGAAUUGUUGGAUCCAUGCCAUCGACAAGAAGCUCAAGCGUCCAUUCCUCUUCUUUCCACAGAGCCUCCUCUCUCAGUGUAGUGAAGGGGAAGGCAUUGCUUCCCCAAAUCCACAUCAUGUGAAUGGCAUUGGGGGACACAACCUUGCCUUGUGGGUCAAGCACCACCAGGAUGGGCUUGUUCCUGAAGUGCCACUGCUCCCUGAUGAACCGGAUCGCCACCUUGUGGAUCAGGUUUGGGUGGUACACGGUGUACCACGGCAUUCUGGACUGCAGGGCCUCGAACUGCUUCUGCACCGGGUCAGUCCACUUGACCGAGCGGUCCACAAUAGGGAUCCACACCACCUCAUACUGGUUGAUCUGACGCUGCGUCGUGUGCAACUUGGACUCGCCGUGGAUCUGCUCCAGGAUGGAUAGCUCGUCCUGCGAGAUGUCCAGCCCCGAGAUCAGCAGCAACACAUUCCUCCUUCUCAGGACUUCGAGGUUGACCUGUAUGUCGCAAGAUAGAAAAGAAACUCGUGGUCAAAUCAUUUUCGAUUAGAAGGGUUCAUGGUCGUUGCAUAAUGGUGAGACUGGCUAUACCCUUUUCUUUGAGGUGCCCUCAACAAGAGGCAGAAUAUCAUCCUUGGGAUAAAUCAGAGCCUUCAGGACCUUCAUAUUGUCAAUGUGGAUGGUUUCAAAGAGAUUCAGGAGAGUCUGAUAGGCUUCAAUAUCCCGCUUUUCCUCUGUGUCACCAUUAAAUCGGUUAAGUCUUCUCCGAAAAGGUUUCUUUCUCUUCAAUUACUACACAGGAAAUAAAAAAAGGUUCAUAUAGAUCAGUGGCUAAUUGAUUACCUAUGUAUUGUUUACAUAUGUCAAUUUGCUUCUGCAAAUGUUCAUAUAUGUUCUUCAGUUUGUGAUCCAUGGUUGACAGCUCCCAUGCCUCAGUUGUGGAGGAUAUGUACCUGCAAAUUCUCACUUCCAUGUUAUGAUUUCAUGUGGGAGGCAUCUACAUAAAUAUUCAUUCAGAGAUAAACUUUCAGUAAUAUGAUGAAGUCUGCUAUUAACCGAUCAGCAAUUAUAAUGCCUUAUAAUUGAGUGCGAGUAGAGAAAUCGAAACAGUUCGAGAGCGCAUACUCAAUGCCAUAGCUAGUGAGGCUGGUGAUCUGGCUAGCACAAGCCACAGCGCUCCUUAUGGUCCAAUAAACGGCAGUUGGGACGUGGGCCAUGGCGGCUGACAAUGCGGGGGCCUCGCUGGAGAUGUAAGCUGAGGGAAGGUCCUUGAGGUCCACCACGCACCUCGUGACUUUAAGCAUGGCCUGGAUGAGGCCAUUGAGCGCGUCGAACCGGGACUUGAGGGCGCCCGAGUGCUCCAUGAUCAUGGGCAGCUGCUUCAGGAUUGCCAUCGACUUGGCAAGCUGGUUGGUAGUGUAGAUCUGGGCCAAGAGCCAGAACUCGCCAUAGUUGAAGGCGAAGGCCGCCAGUGUCAGCACCAGCUUGGCGUCCCACGAGAAGGGGGCGAGCAUGUUGCAUAUGGAGAGCGUGGUCGCGUGCGCCUCGCCACCAGUCAGCGCUUUCGCGGAUAGCUGAGGAACGGUUGCCAGCUGGCAGAUGUCAGUAGAAAGACUUGUUUUUCUAACGAAGAAUUGAUUGCUCUUCAUUUAAUUUCAUGGCGAAAUUCGAAAUAGAUGAAGCGCACAAAAUGACAUCUUUCAUAAAUCACCUCGCAGGAAAUCCGCUCGAUGGUGUAGGACAGCACGUCGAGCACGGCGUUGAAGCUUGCCUGGUAACCCUUGUCCUCCAUGUUUUCAGCGUAUGGGGAUCCCUAUACACAGCAAGAGCCAUGCACGCAGGAUUUAGAAUGAGAAACGAGCGAUUAUAAUACUCAUAAGAAAUACAGAUAAUUGAGAUUGAUUAUUGUCGUGAUAUGGCUCGUUUUGUCAGAGAUCUGGCGAGUGAUACGAAACUGGGCAAGUCUCUCCUAGCUAAAUAAAGUAUAUCUGUAAAAUGUCAUCAAAGCAUUUGAUCCAGUACACCGCAAGAAGGAAGAUAAAAAAGAUCAUUCCUACUCCAUUACCAUGGUGGGGCCGGUGCUAGCAGUCAAGGUAGCGCGGUUGAGGAUGUCCUCGACGAGGAGGAGGAGUGGCUUCACAUCAACCUCGCGGCCAUCAGGGGCAUGAGUGUCCGUGACCUGCUUCAUCAUCGCAAUGUCGUCGGACAUCAUGAUCAUGCUCCGAUCCCCACCCUUAAUCAGCCUCUGCAUGGCGGGCGGCAUCAUCUUGCUGGCCGUCGUCAACGUGGCCAUGACGGGAUACUAUGAGCUCUAGGAAAAUUCUAACACUGCGGUUUUAGGAAAGACGGGAUGAAUAUCGUUAUCUGGGUUUUGCGUGAUUGGCAUGGCCCUAGGCCUGGUCUAUAUAAAUAAGAAUGAUGGACGGCGUAAAGCCUAGGGAUGAAUCGACUUCUUUGCUUCAAUUGUAGUUUAAUGUUUUGAACGUUAAACUGAAGCUUUGGCCACUCUUUCUUUACACUUUGCCCAGCUAAUAAGAUUCGUGGGACCAUUUAUGCAGCUUUUCUCUGGGUAAUGUCCAAAGCAGACAGAGAUUUUUGUGGAAUUUCUGAUUAAUUUAUUCGAAUAAUUAAUUAAUGAAGACAGAUGAGAUGUGAUUUGGGGAGAGUAAAACGUGUUGCUCAAAAGAACAGUACAAAUGUAGUAUGGUUUCUUUUUUUUUUCUUUUUUCUUUUUAGCAAAAGUAUGGUUUAGGGGUUACGUUUUAGCUUUUCGUGCCCAAAAGUAAUCAUCCUUAGCAUAUUGCUUACUUGAAGUAGAUGUGAUUCGGCAAAGCCCUUUCUUCUUCUUAUUUUAAUCUUUCUGUAGAGUAUUUACUGGGUUCAUUGAUAGGAUGAUUGAUAAUUGGGAAAAUUAUUUCAAAAAAAUCCUAAAUUUAUUAUACAAAUAUCCUUUCAUUUAUAAACUUUUUAAUUUGGCCUAUCGAAUCCUAAAUCUUUUGAUGUCAAUAUAAUCAUUCUAAUAAAUUUCAGUUGGCAACUAAAGUGGACAUAUUUUUUGCAUUUUUAAAAAAUUAUCUAAAUGUUUUACAAAAGUUUCUUUUCUUUUCUUUUCUUUAUUUUUUUCCAUUGACUCGUCGACCCUUACCAAACUUGGUAGAACAAAAAAGGACGUGAAAGAAGAGAAAAUAAAAUAAAAUAAAAUAAAAAAAAUAUUUUAAAAAAACUUCUAAAUUUUUAUAAAGUUUUUUCGUUGUUUUCUUUUUUCCACUAGCUUGUUGACCAUCACCGGACUUAAUAGAACAAAAACAGGACAAGAACGAAAAGAAUAUUAAUAAAAUAAAAAUUUUAAAUUUUCAGAAAAUCUUUUAUAGAAAUUGCAAAAAUUGUCAACAUUAGUACUUAUCGUGCCACAUGAGAUUGCCAAUAUCCACAUCAGUAAUUUUUUACACAUGGACUAUAUUGGCAAAUUGUCUAUAGGUUUAGGGCUAAAUUGAUAAAAUUGGCUUCCAAUCGAUAGAUUAAGGACUUUUUUGGUAAUUAUCCCUUCCGAUUACUAGUAACUGUUAGAUAAAAAAAGGGGGGGAUAAGUGCAAUAAAAAUUCUAAAACUUAUCACGAAAAUGCAAUUGAGUCUUAAAACUUCUCAAGUUGUUUUAAUCGAGUCAUAAAGUUAACACCGUCAACAUUUUAACGGAAAAUGCUGACGUGGUGUGGAUGUGGCAUUUUAAAUAAUUUUUCAUUUUCCACAUGGCUUUUAUUAAUUAUUUUUUAUUCAAUUUUUUAAAAUAGAUUUAAAACUAAAAAGAAAAGUUAAAAUUUAAAAAAAAAUUGUUAAAAAAGAAGAAGAUUAAAUUAGCAGCUCCUCCUCUGCUGCCGCUGCCCAUCGCCAGAGGGGCCAACAACUUAGGCGGGGGUAGCCGACCCUUGCCUAGCCCCAGGCAAGAGUCGGCGACCCUUGCUAAGCUUAGGCGAGGUUGCCUAGAUCUGGGCACACUGGCCCUCACUGGGGGCCGGCCACAAGGGUCGUCGCCCACCCUAGGUGAGUCAUCGCUGGCCUUGAGUGAGGGUCGAUGAAGCCUCGCCCAAGGCGGUUGACAACUUGCCCAGGGCGGGCGCGGUUUGCCAACCCCCCACGAGGGCCAAUGGGCUUAAAUCUAGGCUCCCUCUCCCAAGCUUGGUGAGGGCCGGCGACCCUCGCCCAGGGCCGAUGACCAUCGCUAGCCCCUCUGGCAGUGGGCAACGGCGAAGGAAGCCGGCCAUUUUUUUUAAUUGUUUUGUUUUUAAAAUAAAUUAGCUUUUCUUUUCUAAUUUUUAAAUAUAAUUUAAAUAAAAAAAUCAAUUUAAAAAAGCCACGUGGAAAUAAAAAAAAAAAAGAAAUCAUUUUAAACGUCAUGUUCAUGCCACGUUAGCAUUUUCCGUUAAAAAGGCUAACGGUGCUAACUUUAGGAUUUGAUUAAAACAAUUUGGCAAGUUUUAGGACUUGAUUGCACUUUUUACAAGUUUUAGGACUCAAUUGCAUUUUCGUGACAAGUUUUAAGACUUCUAUUACAUUUAUCCCUAAAAAAAUAAAAUAGUAAUCCUUCUCUCAAUACCCAUCUGCAGACACAGUUUGCAUUCUAAAGUUCGUAAAUAAUUUUGCUAUACAUUAUAUGGGUUCUCUCACAAGUCUCCAUACCUAAUCAUCUUUUUAUAGAUAUCAAAUUUCGAAUUCCUUCAACUCUAUGUAAGGAUAAGUGCAAUGAAAGUCUUGAAAGUUGUUACUAAAGUGUAAUUAAUUAUAAAUCUAUUCAAAAGCACAAUCAAUUACUAUAACUUAUCCAAUAGGUGCAAUUGAGUCUUUUUUUUUUUUUUUAACUAUGUUCAACUUCAUUAACGAAAAACACCAACGCGAGCGACAUCAUCACAAGUGAGCUCCGGCACUUGAGGCAAUGCAUCUCCGGGACCCUUCCCAUUGUGAGCUAGAACUCGAACCAGCAGCACGAGUGUGUCAUGUUGCGGAUCUUGUCGUCCUGCUCCUUGAAUGCCAGGUCGUACCCCUUGGUCGGCAUUUGCUCCUUUCACAGGUCAUAUAUACUCCAGCAGCGUUAGUAGGACCGUGAUCCCAUGCCCGUUAACCGUCAUGCUCGACCCCUUGCUCAGUAGCCGCCGAAACCCCAGCCUUGUCGAAGCUGAACAGCCUCUUGAUCUGCUGCGCCACAGGGUCGUACUUGUCCACCUUCCUAAGUUGGAUUUCGACAAGAGCAUCGACUCGAGCCAGGUCCUAAAGAACUACACCAUGGUCAGGUCCUGCCAGGCGUAGCUCAGCUUCUCAACAUUGAUGGUCUCAAUCACGCAACCGUACCUGCUCUGGCUUGCUACUUUUGCCCAAGUAGACCAUGUCCAGGGGGAUCCUCGUGGCCUGCGCGACCUGGCGCAUCGCCAUGGUGAACUUGCGGAUCCACUCGAUUUUGUUGCCGUUGUACAGGAAUACGUACUUGCCAUCUCUAAUCCUAUGAGAGACAAAUUUGAAGAUCUCAAUGUCACAAACCUUUGAAUCAAUACCAUAAAAAAGUUGGCUUGACAUGAUCGUCAGUUACCCAAUUCAUAAUUGUUUGAUUAAUGCCAUUAGAAAGAAGCUCAGGCCUCCAUGUCUCUUCCUCCUUUAGGGCCUUCUCUCCCAAUGUAGUGAAAGGGAAGGCAUUGCUUCCCUAAAUCCACGUCAUAACAGAGCAAAUAAGAGAAUUAUCGAAUCUUCUCCCAUUUUCUGAGUGGGUUCUCUAUAGAGAUCGUGAGAUAAUAUUUUGGGUUUGUUUUGAGUGUAAUCUAGGGAAUUUGGUGAUUGUGAACUUUGUAUUCUCUGGAUUUGUAAUGGAAUACUUCAACUAGCUCUCCCAAUUGAAUCGGUACCAACACCUGGAUUGAACCACAUUAAUUUCUAGUGUUCUUUAAUGUUCCUCAUCAAUUUCGCUAGUAAUUUUCUCCUUCUUGCGUUAAGCAUAAAUUGCAAGAUCCAUUAGCUUUGCAUUAAUUUUGACAAUGAUUGGUGUUGGGACAAAGGUUAGGGUUUCCGGAGCAAAUUUGGGGCUUUGCUAGUCUCGUCAUUGUAUGGAAAUUAUGUUAUUGCAAUUAUGUCCAAAGUGAAAGUAGAAAUUGGGGAGUUCAACGGAAGGAACAUCUCUGGGUCGUGGAGCUUGCUUUUAACAACCUAACAUCUAGUGAAGGUUUUGGAUGGAAAUAAUAAAUCAUCGGAAAUGAUGAAAGAGGUUGAUAAGGUAGAGUUGAUGGAGAAGGCUAAAAGCAUAAUCCUAUUGAAUCUAUCAAACGAGGUAUAAUUAAAGUGGCCGAAGAGAAUGAUCCAACAUUAUAGGCAAGACAUUAGCACUUUAUUUGAUGAAGGGAUUGAACAAUUGCUUAUCUAUGUUGAAAAUACUAUUUCGGUUCCGGGUGGUUGUUGAACGAGUCUAUGUUUCUGGUUUGUUUUUUAUGUGUUAAUAGUCUAUUAAGCACUUUUAUUAUGUGGAUUGGUUGCUGUACAUGUGAAGUUAGUGAGGUGUGGUGGUUAUUUGUUUUUGUAAAGCCUAUAUAAAGGCUAUGGUGUCAGUUUUUUUUUUUAGUGUGUGUGGUUAUGCAGACGUUCCUCCGUUUUUGUGCAUAUCAGAAAAUUUUCUUUGUUUUCCUCUGUUUUUAACGCUGUUCUUGUGCACAUCUGCAUAUCUGCAUCUCCUCUGGUUUUUAACAUUGGUAUCAGAGCGAAGGUUAGGAAGAAAAGUGUGUGUUUGAGUGCUGUAAAAAGGUGAGAACCAAAAGAGAGUUUUUAUUGCAGCAAGUACUUUCGUUUGCAGCAGUCAAGGGAGAGUAUUGCAGCAGGUUAUUUUCGUUUGUAGCAGCAGCGGGUUGCUUUUGUGGUGGUUCUAUUUUGCAACAACAGUAAUGGCCUCAGAAACAUUUGUACAACCUGCUAUUCCACACUUUGAUGGUCAUUAUGAUCAUUGGAGCAUGCUAAUGGAGAAUUUUCUUAAGUCCAAGGAGUAUUGGGAUGUUGUUUCUUCGGGAGUUGCCGAACCUGAUGAAGGAGUUGUGUUAAUGGUAGCGCAAAGAACGGCUUUGGAUGCUUUAAAAUUGAAGGAUCUCAAGGCCAAAAAUUAUCUUUUCCAAGCAAUUGACAUAUCCAUUUUGGAGACAAUUCUUUGCAAGGAUACCUCCAAGGAAAUAUGGGAUUCCAUAAAGAAAAAGUAUCAAGGCUCAGCAAGAGCAAAGAGGCAGCAGCUUCAAACGCUUCGUUCGGAGUUUGAAAUGCUACGAAUGAAGUCGGGAGAGACAAUCACAGAUUUCUUCUCUCGGACAAUAGCAAUAGUUAAUAAGAUGCGGAUUCAUGGCGACAAGACGGAGGAUGUCAUCAUCGUUGAAAAGAUUCUUCGAUCGUUGACACCAAAAUUCAACUUUAUUGUUUGUUCCAUAGAAGAAGCCAAGGACAUUGAAGAACUUUCCAUUGAUGAGUUGCGAGGAUCCUUGUUAGUUCAUGAACAAAAACUCCUACAGCAAGAGACGGAAGAGCAAGCUUUGAAGGUCUCAACUGGAGAUCAUUCUUCAUCAGCAGCAAGGGUGAACAAAGGAAGAGGUAGAGGAAGGGAGAACAACGAUCGCAGUGGCUUCAGCUUUGAUCAAAAGUCUGAAAGCUAUUCCUAUCGUGAUUUCCAAGGGAGAGGAAGAGGUCGUGAAGGACGACAUUCAACUGGUUUUAGGCCAAGGUCAGCAGACAAAUCCAAAGUGGAGUGUUUUAGAUGCCACAGGUAUGGGCAUUACAAAUCUAAAUGUCGAACUAAUUUGAAUAAACAAAGAGUUGAAAGAACUAACUUUGCUGAAAAAGAAGAAGAAGUAUCUCUUUUGAUGGUGUGCCAUGAGAAGGAAGAAACUCAACCAAAUAUGUGGUAUCUCGACACUGGUUGUAGCAAUCACAUGUGUGGAGACAAGAAAAUGUUUUUUGAUCUAGACAAAACGUACAACAGCACCGUAAAGUUUGGUGAUAAUUCCAUUGUGUCAGAAAGGAACAGUGGCAAUUCAUCCAAAAGGGACUUCAGUACAAACUAUCUCAAAUGUAUUGUAUGUCCUUGAAUUGAAGACUAAUCUGUUAAGUGCUGGUCAGCUGCAAGAGAAGGGAUAUGAAAUCUCUAUUAAAGGUGGGAUUUGUAGAAUCUAAGAUGAGAAGUUGGGUUUAAUUACUGAAGUCAAAAUGACAGGCAAUCGGAUGUUUCCAUUGUAUCUCCACAACACUACAAAUUCAUGUUUCUCUGCAAGAUUGAAGGAGGAAGCCUGGUUAUGGCAUUUUCGCUAUGGGCAUCUUAAUUUCGGUGGGUUGCGAACACUAUAUAAAAAAGAGAUGGUGGAGGGUCUUCUUCAAAUCUCUGCUCCUUUGGAAAUUUGUGAAGAUUGUGUUGUUAGCAAGUAACAUCGUGCUCAAUUUCCACAAAGAAAAUCGUGGAGAGCAAAAAGUCCGUUGGCGUUGGUUCAUUCAGAUAUUUGCGGACCAAUAUCUCCAAUUUCCAAUGGAGGUAAACGGUAUAUCAUUACCUUCAUCGAUGAUUUUAGCCGGAAGAUUUGGGUGCAUUUUUUGCAAGAAAAAUCUGAAGCUUUUGCGGCUUUCAAGAACUUCAAAGCACUUGUUGAAAAGGAUGGAGGAAAUCAAAUAAAGGUCCUUCGCGCGGAUCGUGGUGGAGAGUACAACUCGCUUGAGUUUACAGAUUUUUGUAUGAAGCAUGGGAUCAAGAGACAACUUACAGCAGCCUAUACACCACAGCAAAAUGGCGUAUGUGAGAGGAAGAAUCGUACUAUUUUGAAUAUGGUGCGAAGUCUUUUGAGGGGAAGUAGAAUUUCAAAAAGUUUCUGGCUUGAAGCAGUCAAUUGGAGCAUUCACAUUUUAAAUAGAAGUCCCACUCUAGCUGUUCAAAAUAUGACAUCGGAAGAAGCAUGGAGCAGCCAAAGACCUGCAGUAGAUCACUUCAGGAUUUUUGGGUGUAUUGCCUACGCCCAUGUUCCUGACCAAAAGAGGAAGAAGCUAGAUGAAAGGGGAGUCAAAUGUAUUUUUCUUGGCAUUAGUGAUCAAUCAAAAGCCUAUAAACUUUAUAAUCCUAUGACCAAGAAAAUCAUUAUCAGCCGUGAUAUGAUAUUUGAUGAAGAACAAACUUGGCCGUGGGGUGAACAAGGUGUUGGUAAGCAAAUUCCAACGAAUUUUGAAGAUGAAAAUGGGCUGGUGCAGCAAUCCACAACAACCCAAAUCGCCACAGGCAGUGUCCAAAGUACAGCAGCAGCUGCGGAACCUAAAGAUCGGCCUCAUCGUGUUCGACGGAGGCCUGCAUGGAUGAGUGAUUAUGAAGUAACAGGAGUUGAUCAAUAUGAAGAUCCACUUAUCCAUUUUGCUUUGUUUUCAGAUUGUGAUCCAACAACUUUUGAUGAAGCAGUACAAAAAGAAAAUUGGAGGAUAGCAAUGGAUGAAGAAAUUGCAACUAUUGAGAGGAAUGACACUUGGGAGUUAACAGAUCUUCCAAAAUGACACAAAACAAUCGGAGUCAAGUGGGUGUACAAGACAAAAUUGAACAAGAAUGGUGAAGUUGAUAAGUAUAAGGCGUGCUUGGUGGCGAAAGGCUAUAAGCAGGAAUUUGGAGUGGAUUACAAAGAAGUAUUUGCACUUGUAGCAAGACUUGACACAAUCGGAUUGGUAAUUUCAUUAGCAGCGCAGAAUUCAUGGCCUAUCUUCCAAUUGGAUGUGAAGUCAGCAUCCUUGCAUGGUGAUCUUCAAGAAAAGGUAUUUGUUGAUCAACCUUCUGGUUAUGUGAAGCUCGGUAGUGAACAUAAAGUUUAUAAAUUAAAAAAGGCAUUAUAUGGGUUAAAACAAGCUCCCCGAGCUUGGUAUAGUCGCAUUGAUGCCUAUUUCUUGAAAAAAGGUUUUAGAAAAUGUCCAUAUGAGCAUACACUCUUUAUUAAAAUUGGUGAUGAUGGAAAGUUGCUUCUUGUAUGCUUAUAUGUGGAUGAUCUUAUUUUUACUGGGAGUGAUAGUGCCAUGUUUGACAAAUUCAAGGAGUUUAUGAUGGAUGAAUUUGAGAUGACUGAUCUUGGAUUGAUGCAUUAUUUUCUGGGCAUAGAAGUUAUUCAAUCUGCAGCUAGAAUCUUUAUGUCUCAAAAGAAGUAUGUUCAAGAGAUUUUGGACAGGUUUCAAAUGAAUAAUUGUAACCCCGUGACUACUCCAACUGAAGUUGGAUUGAAGCUCUUGAAAGAUCCUCAUGGAAGCAAGGUGGAUAGCACUCUCUACAAGCAGAUUGUUGGAAGCCUGAUGUAUUUGACGGGGACAAGACCAGAUAUCAUGCAUGCUGUGAGCCUUAUAAGCAGGUAUAUGGAGCACCCAACUGAGUUACAUUUACAAUCUGCAAAAACGAUUUUUCGCUAUUUGCAAGGAACUAAAAAUUUUGGGCUGUUCUAUAAAAAGGGAGAAAAGUCAGAUUUGUUUGGGUUUACAGAUAGCGAUUAUGCUGGAGAUGUUGAUGAUAGAAGAAGUACUUCAGGGUAUGUAUUCAUGCUUGGUUCAGGGGCAGUUUCAUGGUCUUCAAAGAAGCAAUCAAUUGUUACUUUAUCAACAACUGAAGCAGAAUUUGUUGCUGCAACUUCAUGCGUUUGUCAAGCCAUAUGGUUAUGGAAGAUUCUUGAAGAGCUUCAGUUCAAACAGCAAAAAGCAACUAUAAUCUAUUGUGGCAACAGCUCAGCUAUCAAGCUGUCCAAAAAUCCAGUUCUACAUGGGAGGAGCAAGCAUAUAGAUGUGAAGUACCACUUCUUAAGAGAUCUUACAAAGGAUGAAGUAGUUGAGCUAGUUUUCUGUAGAAGUGAAGAUCAAGUGGCUGAUAUAUUCACCAAGCCCCUAAAGUUGUCCAUGUUUUAGAAGCUGAGAAAGCUCCUUGGUGUUCGUUUGUUGGAUAUUCCAAAUUGAGAGAGGCUCCUUUAAACUAAUUGUUUGCAACAUCAGUUUAAGGGAGGGAAUGUUGAACGAGUCUAUGUUUCUGGUUUGUUUUUUAUGUGUUAAUAGUCUAUUAAGCACUUUUAUUAUGUGGAUUGGUUGCUGUACAUGUGAAGUUAGUGGGGUGUGGUGGUUAUUUGUUUUUGUAAAGCCUAUAUAAAGGCUAUGGUGUCAGUUUUUUUUAGUGUGUGUGGUUAUACAGACGUUCCUCUGUUUUUGUGCAUAUUAGAAAAUUUCCUCUAUUUUCCUCUGUUUUUAACGCUGUUCUUGUGCACAUCUGCAUAUCUGCAUCUCCUCUAGUUUUUAACAGGUUGAAGGUGCAUCUCAUAAAACCCAUUUAGAUAAGUUUAACAAACUCAUGAGAGAUUUAAAAAAUGUCAAUAAGGCUUUGUUUGACGAAAAUCAAAGUACGAUGUUAUUGACAUCUUUACUAGAUUAUUUUGAGCACUUUACCCAUUCAUUGCUAUAGUGGUGCAUUACGAUUACCUUGGGAAAAGUAAAGUCUGCCUUGUUUUAUAAGGCGUAAAAAAGAAAUUACGAAAAAAUAAUUUAGGGUAGGAUAUAGUGCGAGGUUUGAUUUUCUAAGGUAGAGACAAACAAAGAGAAUCUGGAGAGAGCAAAUGGAAGAGCUGUUCUAUAUCCCGAUCUAACGUUCGGCACCAUUGAUUGUUGGGAUAAGUGUUCCAGAAGUCCUAUAACUUGUCACGAAAAUACAUUUCAAUCCUAAAACUUGCCAAAAGUGCAUUUAAGUCCUAAAACUUGUCAAAUUGUUUCAAGCGAGUCCUAAGAUCGACGCCGUUAGCAUUUUCCGUUAAAAAUGCUGACGUGGCAUUUUAAAUAAUUUUUUAUUUUACAGGUGUAUUUUUUAAUUAAUUUUUAUCCUUUUAAAAAAAAUAGAUUUAAAAACUAAAAAAAUUAAAUUUAUUCUUAUCUUAUUUUCAACAAAAACUAAAAAGAAAAGUUAAAAAAUUUAAUUUUAAAAUUGUUAAAAAAAAAAUCACCGCAGCUCUUCUCCCCCGACGCUGUCGCUGCCCAUCGCCACAGGGGCCGGGCUACGGGCCCGGGCGACGGUCACCGGAACCGGGCGACGGUCGCCCCCCCUGGGUGAGUCGUCGCUGGCCCUCCCGGGGGGGCCGGCGAGGCUCGCCCAGAUCUGGCGAUCCUCGCCGACCCCGAGCGAGGGCCGACGAGGCCUCGCCCAGGGCGGGCAACGGUCGCCGGCCCUCGCCUAGCGCCGGCGAGGCCCGGCCACCCCCGCCCAGAGCCGGCGACCGUCGCCUGGCCCCUCCGGCGAUGGGCGGCGGCGGCGGCGGGGGAGGAGCUGCUGUUUUUUUUUUUUUUUUUAUAAUAAAUAUUUUAACUUUUUUAAAGUUUUUGGUAAAAAUAAGAUAAAAUGAAUAAAUUUGAUUUUUUUAGUUUUUAAAUCUAAUUUUUCUAAAAAAUUCACGUGGAAAAUAAAAAAAUUUAUUUAAAAUGCCACGUCAGCGUAUUUAACGGAAAAGGCUAACGCGUCGAUCUUAAGACUCGUUUGAAACAAUUUUACAAGUUUUAGGACUUAAAUGCUCUUUUUGCAAGUUUUAGGACUGAAAUGCAUUUUCGUGACAAGUUGUAAGACUUCUGGAACACUUAUUCCUUAAUUGUAUUAUUUUACUACAGCUAAUAAUAGAUCUAAUGAUGAUGUUAUGUUAACGGUCACCAUGAGUUUGUUAGGUGAUGAGUGAGUGCUUGACUUUGGAGGCUCAUAUCAUGUGACUUAUUAUAAGCAUUGAUUUACUACAUGUCUGUACACAAAGGGUAGUAAUUUGAUUAUAUUAGGAACGCGCAAUAGAAGUAUGAUACUUUCACAUGAAGAGAUCGUUAAGGGAGAACCCAAAUAUAAGCUCGUCUACACAUCCAGUUGAACUCAUCUAUGCUAAAAAACUUACAAUAAGUUAUAAGUUGAUUAAGAUAUAUUAACUGUUAUAUACCACAACAAUUAUUUGAUGUGGCAUAUCAACAAUUUCCCCUUCACAUAUGCACUCAAUGUUAGAUCUACUCUCCAUUAAUCCAAGUAUUAUUCCACAUGAAAAUAUCUCAACUUAAAUCUCCAUCAACGCCCAACUUAAUCCCUAGUCUCUUUCUCUAGACCGAAUCGUGAAGUCUAUCAUCGGGCUCACAUUGUUACACUAUAAAGCCCACCGCUCAAAAGCGCGCAACAAAAGUAUGAUACCUUCACUUGGGGGGAUUAAAUUGUCAAGGGAGAGCCUAAAUCCAAGCCCAUUAACAAAUCUAAUUAGACCUACAUUCUCUCAAAAAUGAAGGUGGAAGAAGAUUUUCAGUUGAGGGUUUGAUUUCUAGAGCAAAGUGAACUUGAUUUCUCGAUUUCAAGCAAAUUUGUGUUGCCAGACAACGUCGUCUCAUCUAUAAAUUGAGUGUUGACAUCUCUAGCGAGACAAGUCGGAUUAUUUAUAUUAGAAUAAUGUCAUAUGUGAUUUUGCGACAACACAAGUGAUCUGUAUUGCUUGAGUAUUUGAUUUUUAGAAGUUAUGAUAAUCAAAUGAUCUUUUAAGGAGCAGUAACGUCAAAGUGAGCGUCAUAUAUGAAAGCCGUAGUAGUAUUAGUAAACUUUCUAAAUCUAGAGGAUGAUCCCUAGAAUGGGACUUUCGACGACAGCUCGUGGACGACCUGGGUAAUUAUAGAAUGGAAGUUGACAGCGGAGUAGUGGCGACCAUUGCAGAGAGUGUAUCUUCUAAGGAUUCUGUGGAAAGAUGAAGAAAAAGAAGCCAUUGAAGACCAAAAACAAAAUAGAGGAGAAGAGAAGAGGGAAUGGAGAAUCUUGAGAGGACAAAGAACUCAUUAGAGGUUUCUCUGCUUCUUAUUUAAUAUCAAGCAUCAGAUGUUGAUCAUUGGACAUCAUCCUUCACACUCCAAACGCAAAUCAAACAAAGGAAAUUCAAGCGCACACAUGGCUUCUUUAUUAUGUCCCACAAGACAUUCGUAUAUGCCUCCUCCGUAUGAAGGCUUUGGAUUGAUUGAUCACUCAGAUGGUGGGAACAACCUCAUCAUGGCAGCAGACGAAGGUGGUGAGCUUCUCCAUGCGUCUCUGGCAGUCGGGGCACCGCAUGCCCUCCGGGAUCCUUCCCCCCAUGCUCUGGAACUCGAACCGGCAGCAUGGAUGCGUCACGUCGUGGAUCUUGUCGUGGUGCUCCUUGAACGCCACGUCGUACCCCUUGGUAGCCACAUGCUCCUUCCACAGGUCGUACUCCAGCAGCGCCGGCAGGACCGUGGUCCCGUGCCCGUUCACCGUGAUGGCUGACCCCCGGCUCAGCACUGCCCACCCCCCCGCCUUGUCGAAGCUGAGUAGCCUCUUGAUCUGCUGCAUCAUGUGGUCCUCCUCGUC
rnacentral:lncRNA from 1 species